AUUGCCGUCUCUGCCGACCGUUACCGCGUUUCGACAGUCUAGUUUACAAUACCGUUCUCUUCGACCGUUUCCAUUCCUUUCGAUUCGUAUUUUAUUCAUUGCAUUAUUUUCUUGUUUCUCCGGAGAGUUUAACCAUUCUCUGAUGUAUCUAUUUUCUUGAUUCUGUCUUUUUUGGUUUUUUGAACCGAUUUCGACCUAGUUUAUCUGGACGGGGAAUGAUUCCCGUCUCUCGCCCCCGACCGCUUCACACCCGAUUCGACCUAGUUACUGAAUUCCCCGUCUUCUAUGCGACCGUUUCAGCACCCGAUUGUCGACAGAUCUAUUGACAAUUCGCGUCUCUCUUGUUCGAGCCGUUUCACACGAUUCGAACAGUAUACUGAAACUUUGGUUGCUCGGUAGCACGGGUGCUACCAAGUUGCGUGUUUUUUUCGCCUCGAUAGCUCUGGGCGAAGAGCCAUAGCUUCUGCAAAAUGCUUGCAGUCUUUUCCGGUUGUUUGUUUUUUGCGUUUCGAGUAGGAAAAUCGGUAGGAAACCAAUCGUGGUUCGAAAGCAGAUUUCUAAGUAUUUGUCGUUUUGGUAUAGUACGCUAUAUUGGAGGUGGAGACACUUUCUAUAUAUUACCUCAUGCCCGACGCGCUUGUGAAAGGGAAUGAACGUUAAUGGAGAAUCAUACGGGUUUUGAUUCGCGAUUGAAGGUUGGGACGUAACUAACGACAGACGUUUAACCGGUAAGAUAAGAUGGCCUUGCAGCCAUAGAGUCCUAAGGGUCCGGUAUCGUCGGACAGUGACGCAGUGGCUGUCGUUAGCGAGGGCUCACGGAGUGGCUAGGCACCGACAACAGCGAAGCAGCAUGUGCGGGAAGAAGAAGAGAAUGUUUUCAUUAAUCAAGAACGAAAGUCAGAGGUUCGAAGGUGAUCAGAUACGCGCUAGUUCUGACCAUAAACGAUGCAACUAGCGAUCCGCCGGAGUUACUACAAUGACUUGGCGGCAGAUGAGGAAUCAAGUCUUUGGGUUCCGGGGGAAGUAUGGUUGCAAAGCUGAAACUUAAAGGAAUUGACGGAAGGGCACCACCAGGAGUGGAGCCUGCGGCUUAAUUUGACUCAACACGGGAAAUCUCACCCGGUCCGGACACUGUAAGGAUUGACAGAUUGAGAGCUCUUUCUUGAUUCGGUGGGUGGUGGUGCAUGGCCGUUCUUAGUUGGUGGAGCGAUUUGUCUGGUUAAUUCCGAUAACGAACGAGACUCUGGCCUACUAAAUAGUGAGCCGAUUCCGUCGGUCGGCUGGCACUUCUUAGAGGGACAAGCGGCGGCUAGCCGCACGAGAUUGAGCAAUAACAGGUCUGUGAUGCCCUUAGAUGUCCGGGGCUGCACGCGCGCUACACUGAAGGAAUCAGCGUGCAUUUUGCCUUGUCUGGAAGGACUGGGUAACCCGAUGAACCUCCUUCGUGCUAGGGAUAGGGAAUUGCAAUUAUUUCCCUUGAACGAGGAAUUCCCAGUAAGCGCGAGUCAUAAGCUCGUGUUGAUCACGUCCCUGCCCUUUGUACACACCGCCCGUCGCUACUACCGAUUGAAUGAUUUAGUGAGGUCUUCGGACCGGUCCCGGCGAGAGGGGAAACCCUCGCAUCGGUGUGCUGGGAAGAUGACCAAACUUGAUCAUUUAGAGGAAGUAAAAGUCGUAACAAGGUUUCCGUAGGUGAACCUGCGGAAG
rnacentral:rRNA from 1 species